AGGAGCGCAGCCACAGUUCCUCCUGUGAUGUAUACAUACAAAUAAAUAUUUACAAACAAAAGAAAGUGUUUGUUUUGUGCAAAUGUGAGGUGCUGAGACAUUGGUAUAGACAGGUAGUUGCGUGUGGACGGAUCUGUAAAGAUGUUACUAUCUAGGGAUAACAUUCGGUAGAAUUCUUGUUUUUUGGUAGUUAAGAUGGUUUCAACACUACAGCUUCUCCUGCCAUCACUUGACAACCUAGCAGGUUGCAGCUCUGAAGCCUGACCUGUGCUUGCUUAAGAUCCCCCUCAUAUGAGAGACAGGCAUCAGCUGGACAGAAGAGUGUUACUCUUACGUUCAGCAAGCAGCUAGAGAGUACCUCGGGUAUUGUACCAAACUCAGACUUGUGAACACGAGCAUCAAGUUCAUCCAUUGUAAUCUUGAAUUAGCAUCAAUCUCAUAUGAUCUGUCAAACUGAGAUGCUACCUCUGGAGGAGCUGUUACACAUACAAGAUGGGCUGGUGGAACAGGACAUAUGUCUUCUUUUUGAGGCCAAAAGAGAGUUUCUGCUGGCCCGUGAGGGUGCAUAAAAAGAAUGUCAUAGUCCCCUUCUUCUUCAUUAAAACCCAGAACCAUUCCUAUCCACCAGUUUUGCUCAUAAAUUCAAGCAACAAAAGAAUGUAGGUUAGGUGUAAUAGUCAGGAUCAUCAUAAAAAUAUUUUGUUUCAACAAAAUUUCCUAGUCUGAACUCACUCGUUUGGCUGAAAUUUCUUCGCAAGAAGCUGGCUUAAAAUAAUGGAAACUUCUUGUACCCGGUAUUGUUUGAUCCAUUUGAAAUCUAGUUUUAAGCAUUGUUCUUUUAGUUUCAAUUUCUUCUUCCGUUCAAAAUAUAGUUUUGAGAAUAAACUUUUGCAAAAAUUGUACCUUUGUUCAGCGUUUAUUAUCUGCUCACUUUGCCUACUGCUCUGCAAGUUUUUUUUUUUGGU